rnacentral:rRNA from 1 species
AGUGAACGCUGGCGGUAGGCCUAACACAUGCAAGUCGAACGGCAGCACAGUAAGAGCUUGCUCUUACGGGUGGCGAGUGGCGGACGGGUGAGGAAUACAUCGGAAUCUACUUUUUCGUGGGGGAUAACGUAGGGAAACUUACGCUAAUACCGCAUACGACCUACGGGUGAAAGCAGGGGAUCUUCGGACCUUGCGCGAUUGAAUGAGCCGAUGUCGGAUUAGCUAGUUGGCGGGGUAAAGGCCCACCAAGGCGACGAUCCGGAGCUGGUCUGAGAGGAUGAUCAGCCACACUGGAACUGAGACACGGUCCAGACUCCUACGGGAUGCAACAGUGGGGAAUAUUGGACAAUGGGCGCAAGCCUGAUCCAGCCAUACCGCGUGGGUGAAGAAGGCCUUCGGGUUGUAAAGCCCUUUUGUUGGGAAAGAAAAGCAGCAGGUUAAUACCCCGCUGUUCUGACGGUACCCAAAGAAUAAGCACCGGCUAACUUCGUG